AUGGAGGCUGUGCUGGGCUGGGUUUUCCUUGUUGCUGUUUUAAAAGGUGUCCAGUGUGAGGUGCAGCUGGUGGAGUCCGGGGGAGGCCUGAGUCAGCCUGGGGGGUCUCUGAGACUCUCCUGUGCAGCCUCUGGAUUCACCUUCAGCAGUUACUACAUGAGCUGGGUCCGCCAGGCUCCAGUGAAGGGCCUGCAGUGGGUCGCGUACAUUAGCAGUGGUGGUGGUAGCACAUACUACGCAGACUCCGUGAAGGGCCGAUUCACCAUCUCCAGAGACAACGCCAAGAACACGCUGGAUCUGCAAAUGAACAGUCUGAAAGUCGAGGAC